GAGAGAGAGAGAGAGAGAAAGCAUGAGCUGGGGAUGGGCAGAGAGAGAGGGAGACGCAGAAUCCCAAGUAGGCUCCAGGCUCUGAGCUGUUAACACAGACCCCGAUGCGGGGCUUGAACUCACGAACCAUAAGAUCUUGACCUGAGCCAAAGCUGGACGCUCAACCCACUGAGCCACCCAGGUGCCCCUAAAAUGCCUUUUAAAAAUGGAUUCAGGGGGCGCCUGGCUGGCUCAGCCAAUAGAGCGUGGAAUUCUUAAUCUCAAGGUCAUGGGUUCGAGCCCCACAUGGGUAUAGAGAUUACUUAAAUAAAUAAAACUGAAAAACAAACAAACUUUAAAAAAAAGAACUGGAUGGGGGGUGCAUGCGUGGCUCAGUCGGUUAAGCGUCCAGCUUCGGCUCAGGUCAUGAUCUCACAGUUUAUGAGUUUGAGCCCCUCAUGAGGUUCCACACUGACAAUGUGGAGCCUGCUUGCGAUUGUCUCUCUCCUUCUCUCUCUCUGCCCCUCCCCUGCUGGUGCACUCUCUCCCUCUCUCUCAAAUAAAUAAAAAAAAAAAUUUUAAUAAAUAAAAAUUAAAAGAACUGAAAGACUUUAAAAAAAUUGGUUCAAAGUCAAAUUUAUUAAUAGACCAAAGAAACCAAAUCCUCACUGUGUCAUUUUUCUCCUGAAAACCCCUCGGUGACGGCCCACAACACCUUCAAGUUUAGAUUCCUUAGCAGAGCUCACAAAGCCCUUCAGCAUCUGCCCCACCUAGCCCCCACAGCCUCACCCCUUCCCACUUUGCACUCUGCGCUCCAGCUGAGCGGAACGUCUCUGACCUUCCUGCAGUUCCUUGAAAGCACCAUUUCCUCUUUUGCCUUGCAGGUUUUACACAGGCGGCUGCUCACAACACUCUAUUCAUCAUUCAGGUCUCCGCUUAGAUAUUGUUUCCUCCAGGAAGUCUUCCGUGGUCCAUAAAGUUGGGGUUUGACGCCUCUUCUGUGAAUUCCCAUAGCACCCUAGACUUGACUAGCACUGUGCUCAUCAUGCUGUGUUGUGAUUACCUGGGGUUUCCCCUCGCCCUCCCACUAGAACAUACCCUUCCAAAGGAACAGGAACCAAAUCUGCAUUGCUCACUGCUGCUUCCCUAGCACCUUUGCAAAGAAUGUCUCACAUGGGUGUAGGCAGGCCGCCAUCCCUCAGAUUGAUUGACUGAUAAACCCUCCAGAAGGCAGGGACAAGAUCAGUGCUCAAACCUACAGCUCAAGCUCUCAACUCCUGUCUGAAUGUCAGGACCACAUCUCCAAAUGCUUACCGGAUAUCUUCUGCUUGAAGUAAAUGCGUUCAAAACUGAGUUUAUUACCUUCUUGUAAUAAACAGAGAAAAUCAUGCUCACCGAGUAUUCUAUGUGCUCCCCUCUACUUUCCAAACUUCUGUAGUUAGGAGAGGCCAUAAGACUGGUUCUGGCCGAUGAAAUGUGCAUGGAAGCAACGUACAUCAUGUCUGGGCUGGGGUAAUAAAAAGCCCUGUACACAAUUCUCUAGUGUCUCUCUCUCCUCCUGUCAUGUAACUGAGGAUGUGACUAAAGGAGCCAUGUGUUGUAGGUGGUGUGGCUACAAGAUGGUGGAGCUUGGAUCCCCGAGUGACUGUAUGGAGUCGAGACCCCUGUGGACCACACAGGACCUAUAGUAGGAUUGAGGAAACAAAACAAAUCUUUGUUUUGUUAAGCCAAUGAGAUUUCGAAGUUAUUAAUUACUGCAGGAUAAUCUACAUGAUCCUCACAGAUUCUCUACUCUCAGAUCUGCAUCUUAUCUUUAUUCCUUCCAUUGGUGAAUGAUGGCUCACCCAUCCAAUUAUCCCAGCUGGUAACCUCAAGCUGCUUCCUCCUUCACUUUCCUUUCGAUUUGACAGACAGUGCUUGGGCUAGGCCUCAUCAGACCCCUCUCUUGGAUCAGAAUCAGCAUCCUGCCUGAUUUCUCUGACUUUAGACUCCUCUUUCCAGCCAUCCUCCUUAUUGCCUCCAGAGUUCUCUUUCUAAAACACAAAUCUGAUCACAGUACUCACUGAGCUUAAACACCUCUACCUGUUAUUUCCUGUAGGAUAAAAACGAAAAAUCUGAGGCUGGCACCAAGUACCUUGAUUAGUCAACCUACCUUGCCAGUCUCCCCUGCCACCUAGUACUCUUGAGAUCUAGCCACAUUGGGAGCAUCUGGGUGGCUAAGUCAGUUGAGUGUCCGACUUUGGCUCAGGUCAUGAUCUCAUGGUUCAUGAGUUUGAGCCCCACAUAGGGCUCACUGGUGUUAGUACAGAGCCCACUGCGGAUCUUCUGUCCCCCUCUCUCUGCCUCUCUCUCUCUCUCUC